UACGUAGGGCGCGAGCGUGUCCGGAAUCAUUGGGCGUAAAGAGCUCGUAGGCGGCCUGUCGCGUCUGCUGUGAAAUCCCGGGGCUUAACCCCGGGCGUGCAGUGGAUACGGGCUGGCUGGAGGCAGGCAGGGGAGAACGGAAUUCCCGGUGUAGCGGUGAAAUGCGCAGAUAUCGGGAGGAACACCGGAUGGCGAAGGCGU
rnacentral:rRNA from 1 species